rnacentral:lncRNA from 10 species
GUUGUUGCCAAGGCUUCCAGUUGGCUUUCUGCUCUGUGCAGUUUUAUUUUGUUGAGGGAAGUAUUGGCAGCAACCAGACUUGAGAUCCUUCAGGUGUAGUUAGCCAUACAUCUACAAAUGAAUAACCACAGAGAAUCAAAGAGAAGGAACCAACUAAGCAGAUUCACUUGAGAGGUUGUGAUGAGUGAAAGAAGAAAGGUUCUGAAAUGCACUGCACAGUGAUGGGCACCAAGAGCAGUUCUACUGUAGGAGCUGUUCUGAUCAGUAUCACCCAGUUCUUCAGAUGUUUUGAUUUUCCACAUUUUGAGCACCAGAACAGGUCCAGAAAUAUUGGGGCACUGUUACCAAGUGAGGCUGACGUUGUUUCAAGAUAAACAACGUACUUUUUGUUUGUUGCAGACUACUCAAUUUAUUUUGCUAAAAUAUUAAGUUCAUUGUAUCUGUCGGGGGAUUAGGUUAUGCUGAAGUAACAAACUACCCCAAACAUCUGUGACUUUAUUCUCAUGCUACA